GUUAUAUGGUCAAGCGAAUAAGCGCACACGGUGGAUGCCUAGGCGGUCAGAGGCGAUGAAGGACGUGGUAGCCUGCGAAAAGUGUCGGGGAGCUGGCAACAAGCUUUGAUCCGGCAAUAUCCGAAUGGGGAAACCCACUGCUUCGGCAGUAUCCUGCAGUGAAUUCAUAGCUGCUGGAAGCGAACCCGGUGAACUGAAAUAUCUAAGUAACCGGAGGAAAAGAAAUCAACCGAGAUUCCCUAAGUAGUGACGAGCGAACGGGGAGCAGCCCUUAAGCUGGAAUGGCUUUAGAAAAACAAUCUGGAAAGAUUGGCCAUAGAAGGUGAUAGCCCUGUAUUUAAAAGGGCCACUCCAGUGAAGACGAGUAGGGCGGGGCACGUGAAACCCUGUCUGAAUAUGGGGGGACCAUCCUCCAAGGCUAAAUACUCCUGACCGACCGAUAGUGAACCAGUACCGUGAGGGAAAGGCGAAAAGAACCCCGGAGAGGGGAGUGAAAUAGAUCCUGAAACCGUGUGCGUACAAGCAGUAGGAGCUCGCAAGAGUGACUGCGUACCUUUUGUAUAAUGGGUCAGCGACUUACUGUUCGUGGCAAGCUUAACCGUAUAGGGGAGGCGAAGGGAAACCGAGUCUGAUAAGGGCGCAUAGUCGCGGGCAGUAGACCCGAAACCGGGUGAUCUAGUCAUGGCCAGGGUGAAGGUGCCGUAACAGGUACUGGAGGCCCGAACCCACGUCUGUUGCAAAAAAAGACGGGGAUGAGCUGUGAUUAGGAGUGAAAAGCUAAUCGAACCCGGAGAUAGCUGGUUCUCCUCGAAAGCUAUUUAGGUAGCGCCUCAUAUGUAUCCUCUCGGGGGUAGAGCACUGUUAUGGCUAGGGGGUCAUCGCGACUUACCAAACCAUUGCAAACUCCGAAUACCGAGACGGACUGUAUGGGAGACACACGGCGGGUGCUAACGUCCGUCGUGAAAAGGGAAACAACCCAGACCCACAGCUAAGGUCCCAAAUUCACUGCUAAGUGGAAAACGAUGUGGAAAGGCAUAGACAGCCAGGAGGUUGGCUUAGAAGCAGCCACCCUUUAAAGAAAGCGUAAUAGCUCACUGGUCGAGUCGGUCUGCGCGGAAGAUUUAACGGGGCUAAGCAGUGAACCGAAGCUUGGGGUGCAUAAAACUUGUUUUAUGCGCGGUAGAGGAGCGUUCCGUAAGCCUGCGAAGGUGGAUUGAGAAGUCUGCUGGAGGUAUCGGAAGUGCGAAUGCUGACAUGAGUAACGAUAAUGCGGGUGAAAAGCCCGCACGCCGAAAGCCCAAGGUUUCCUUGCGCAACGUUAAUCGACGCAGGGUUAGUCGGUCCCUAAGGCGAGGGCGAAAGCCGUAGUCGAUGGGAAGCAGGUUAAUAUUCCUGCACCUCGCGUGAGUGCGAUGGAGGGACGGAGAAGGUUAGGUGUACCGGGCGUUGGUUGUCCCGGGGAAAGGCGGUAGGUUUGGAUCUUUGGCAAAUCCGGGAUCCUUUAAGACCGAGCACCGAGACGAGCCUUUAUGGCGAAGUCACUGAUACCACGCUUCCAGGAAAAGCUCCUAAGCUUCAGCUCACGAAGACCGUACCGUAAACCGACACAGGUGGGUAGGAUGAGAAUUCUCAGGCGCUUGAGAGAACUCGGGUGAAGGAACUAGGCAACAUGGCACCGUAACUUCGGGAGAAGGUGCACCCUUUUUGGUGGCUCGUGCGAGCUAUAGCUGAAGAGGGUCGCAGAAACCAGGCCGCUGCGACUGUUUAUCAAAAAAACACAGCACUCUGCAAACACGAAAGUGGACGUAUAGGGUGUGACGCCUGCCCGGUGCUGGAAGGUUAAUUGAUGGGGUCAGCCGCAAGGCGAAGCUCUUGAUCGAAGCCCCAGUAAACGGCGGCCGUAACUAUAACGGUCCUAAGGUAGCGAAAUUCCUUGUCGGGUAAGUUCCGACCUGCACGAAUGGCGUAACGACAGCGGCGCUGUCUCCACCCGAGACUCAGUGAAAUUGAAAUCGCUGUGAAGAUGCAGCGUUCCCGUGGCAAGACGGAAAGACCCCGUGAACCUUUACUAUAGCUUUACACUGAACGUUGAGUUCGUCUGUGUAGGAUAGGUGGGAGGCUAUGAAACUGUGGCGCUAGCUGCAGUGGAGCCAUCCUUGAAAUACCACCCUGUCGUGCUUGACGUUCUAACCUAGGUCCGUUAUCCGGAUCAGGGACCGUGUAUGGUGGGUAGUUUGACUGGGGCGGUCUCCUCCCUAAAGAGUAACGGAGGAGCACGAAGGUACGCUCAGCGCGGUCGGACAUCGCGCACUGUGUGCAAAGGCAUAAGCGUGCUUGACUGCAAGAUCGACGGAUCAAGCAGGUACGAAAGUAGGUCUUAGUGAUCCGGUGGUUCUGUAUGGAAGGGCCAUCGCUCAACGGAUAAAAGGUACUCCGGGGAUAACAGGCUGAUACCGCCCAAGAGUUCAUAUCGACGGCGGUGUUUGGCACCUCGAUGUCGGCUCAUCACAUCCUGGGGCUGUAGUCGGUCCCAAGGGUAUGGCUGUUCGCCAUUUAAAGUGGUACGCGAGCUGGGUUCAGAACGUCGUGAGACAGUUCGGUCCCUAUCUGCCAUGGGCGUUGGAAGUUUGAGAGGGGCUGCUCCUAGUACGAGAGGACCGGAGUGGACGAACCUCUGGUGUUCCGGUUGUCACGCCAGUGGCAUUGCCGGGUAGCUAUGUUCGGAAGCGAUAACCGCUGAAAGCAUCUAAGCGGGAAGCGCGCCUCAAGAUGAGACUUCCCGGGGCACAAGCCCCCUAAAGGAACCAUGUAGACUACGUGGUUGAUAGGUCAGGUGUGUAAGUACAGCAAUGUAUUGAGCUAACUGAUACUAAUGAUCCGUGCGGCUUGACCAUAUAACCUCA
rnacentral:rRNA from 1 species